rnacentral:rRNA from 1 species
CCUGAGAAACCCAAAAGAUCGAAUGGGGAGAUUCAUCGUCAGCUCAUUAUGUAUAUUUUAAAGUUACGUUGCGGGUUACUACUUGAAGUAUUGCCUGCACGUUCUUUUAUAUUUAGUUGCAAAAUGUUGUCGGCUUGCACUUCUUCCCUAGUAGGACGUCGCGACCCGUUGUGUGUCGGUUUACGGCCCAAGUGAUAGUCUUUAAUGUAAUUUAAAAAUCAUUGAAGAUCCUUGGUGUUUUCUAACCGGCUACACGGCGGUACUCGUACGGUAUUUAGCCGCUAAUUUUUAUUAGCGUCCAUGUCCGUCACAAGCAAGAUCAAUUUACUAAUAGUACGGACCUAGUGCCGUCGUUGGUAUUGUUCAGUUGUUGGUUGUACGUGAUUCUGGGACUGGUUAAAAAUUUUAAUUACCGGUCGGCGAUUCUACUGCUUUGGGUACUUUCAGGACCCGUCUUGAAACACGGACCAAGGAGUCUAACAUGUGCGCAAGUCAUUGGGAUUUUUUUAAAAUUAAACCUAAAGGCAUAAUGAAAGUAAAGAUUGACCUUGCGUUAAUCGAGGGAGGAUGAGUUAUGUUAUGAUAUAGCUCCGCACUCCCGGGGCGUCUCAUUCUUAUUACAAGAAGAGGCGCACCUAG